rnacentral:lncRNA from 1 species
UGCAAUCAAUGAAAAUAGAUUAUCAGAAGAAAUUUCACACAAGAAGAAAUAAAUAAUAAUACUCAAUUAAUCAAUUACUUGUAACAAGGAUUCACCUCCCUUUAAAACUGAAUAAAAAAAACUAGCCUGACAUGCUCUUGAGUCUGUACUCCAAUAGAUGAUAGUUGAUAAUUGAAUGAAUAAAACCCCGACUCUCAUCCUUUAUUUAUAGUGCUAGACAAAGUCCUAAAUCCUAUAGGAAGUAGAAAUCCAAAUCCUAAAAGGAAUUACAAAUCAUAACUAGUUUUCAUAAAGAAAUAGAAUCCAAUUUGGAAAUAAAUCUUAGUCUUAAGAUAUCCUAAUUCUAAUAGAAAUAUCAAUCCAAUUCCAUGUAGAAAUCUGUCAAAAUAUGCUUUUAGAAACUUUCAAAAAAUCCAAGAUUUUCCAAUUUUUCCGUUCAAAUUCGCUGGGGCGAAUUUUCAUUUUCUGUUGCGACGUCCUUUGGUAAAAUAAGCAUAACUUUUAAUCUGGGAGGAGUUACGGGGCCUGCUACCUAUCAAAACGAAGAUAUCGACGAGAUCUACAACUUUCAUUCUUUGAUAUUAGACAGAUUCGGACUGUAUCAAAGUUGAAAUCAGGCUCCAAGAGACUGCUAUGCAAAUUGCAACUUCCAAACUUUGAGGUUCAACUUCCGUAUGGUAAAAAGAUCAUAACUUCUUCAUACGAACUCCGAUUGGGACGAUUCAAGAUGUUCCGAAAAGCUAAAGAAGAGCUCUACAAUAAAAUCCAAGUCCCAAGCCAAGACCAUGCAUCCAACUUAAUGCUAAAAACCCUACAAUUUUCCUUUUUUCCUCAUUUCAGCUCCAAUUCCUCCUGAAAUCAUUAAACACCAUAAUAAGCUCAUAUACAUAUGAAACAUGCAAUAAAACUAAAUAUAAUGGAAUCAAAAUAAAUGAAUAAUAUGCACUCAUCAAAUUCUCCCACACUUAGCCUUUUACACGUCCUCGUGUAAACCAAAAGUUUGAUUUCCAGAAAAAUUCUAUUCAACCAUAGUGUUAAAAGAUUUCAAGAUACAAAUCAUGACUAUCAACACUAAAUUUGCAGAAAUCUAAUUAAUGCCUUAUCAAUCAACUCACAAUUUCUAACCUUACCAUUUCACCAAUGAAUUUUAUUAAAUCAAAAUGUAGCCACAUAAGUAACUUUCCCAAAAUCACCAUACUUACUCAACUUAGUUACCAUGGAGCAAAAACCGUGCACACUGACUCACUACCGAGAACAAAUUUUUCUUGCUUCUUUUUUUUUCUUUUUCAUAGAACCUUCUUUUUAGCACAGAUGAAUGUAUUUUCAUGCUUCUUUUUUUUUCGUAUAUAUAUUUUUUUUCUUGACAUGUGCAGUGUCUCAUUUUCUUAGGCUUUUCAGAGUUACCCAUUAGCGAACUUUCCACCACCGACUCCCAAACCAGAUGAUCUUAGGGCGCUAGGUGUAGAGACACCCUUAAGGGCUUACUUAUUCAAGUAACAAAGGCCACAAAAGUCGACUAGUCAAGCUGCUUUUAUCCAUCGCACUUUUCAGCGUGAAUACCGAUGCUUCCCGAGGCUUAGAUACCCAGUUAUUUGGCACAAUGGACAUUGAAGCAGAUUUUCAAUUUUCAUUUUUUUUCUUUUUUUUUCAUUCAUCAUUUUUUUCACAUGGUUCUGCAACAACAUAAGCGAGUUAAACAGUUCUAAGUCGUGAAAUCAGUGCACAUAGACAACUCCACAAAUAACUUAGCCAAUAAACAUGUUUCUCUUAUUCAAGUACUCAUGUAUCACAAAUUCAAUUGAAAUCAAUUACUAUGGAUCAUGGCUUAGUUGUCAUCAUUCAUUAACAAAUUAAGCAUCAAACAGAUUCUGAAUUUUAGCAUUAAUUUUCAAUCUUUGACUUUAACCCUCGAACACAUAGGCAAAUACCCAAAUUUUCAGAAUUUUUUUUUUUUCAAUUUUCCAUCAAAAUUGGAUUAUUAUUCCUACAUAAAAUAAAACCUAAAUCUUCCCCCCACACUCAAACCUUACAUUGUCCCCAAUGUAAGAAAAUCAUGCAAAGAAGAAAAUACUACUAGCAAACAUGCAAUAAAAACAAAAAAAUAAAAAAUAAAAAAUAAAGGGAUAGAAAAAUCAAAUCUGAGAUCUUGAGUUGCCUCCCAAGUAGCUGCCCGUGUUUAAUGUCUUUGGCUCGACGUCAUGCCUCUCUUCUCAGCUUUCAUAUAUCGGAUCGUCUAGCUCCACCAUCUCAAUAUUUUCCACCUGAUGCCCCUCAUAGAAAGGCUUUAAUCUAUGUCCAUUCACCUUAAAGAUCUUGUUUGUGCUCGGGCUUUGAAUCUCAACUGCACCAUGAGGAAACACAUUAAUGAUAACAAAAGGACCAACCCAUCUAGAUCUCAAUUUACCUGAAAAUAACUUAAGCCGAGAAUGAUAUAGCAAAACUUUUUGUCCCACAAUAAAGGUUUUCCGCACAAUCUGCUUAUCAUGAAAAGCUUUGGUCUUUUCCUUGUAAAUCUUUGAACUUUCAUAGGCUUCAUUCCUCAAUUCUUCUAACUCUUGUAACUGCAAUUUCCUGUGUACUCCAGCUGCCUCCAAACUCAUGUUGCACUGCUUGAUUGCCCAAAAAGCCCUAUGCUCCAAUUCAACAGGUAAGUGGCAUGAUUUUCCAAACACAAUCCUGUAUGGUGACAUCCCAAUAGGUGUUUUGUACGCCGUUCUAUAGGCCCAAAUUGCAUCAUCUAAUCUCAGACUCCAAUCUUUUCUGCUCGGGUUGACUACCUUCUCCAAAAUGGAUUUUAUCUCUCGGUUAGACACCUCAGCUUGACCAUUACUCUGCGGAUGGUAGGAUGUAGAAACCUUGUGCAGAACAUUGUAUUUCUUGAACAAAGCCGCUAACACUCUGUUGCAAAAGUGGGUUCCGCGAUCACUAAUGAUGGCUCGUGGUGUUCCAAACCUGACAAAUAUGUUAGUCCUAACAAAAUCUGCAACAACUUUAGAAUCGUCAGUCCUAGUGGCUUUAGCUUCCACCCAUUUUGAGACAUAAUCAACAGCCAAAAGAAUAUAUAAAUUCCCAAAGGAUGAAGGAAAAGGUCUCAUAAAAUCUAUACCCCAAACAUCAAAAAUUUCAACAACUAAAAUAGGAGUUUGGGACAUUUGAUUUCGUUGAAAAAUAUUCCCCGUCCUUUGGCAAUUACCACAUGUUUUACAAAACAGAUAGGAAUCUUUAAAAAGCGAUAGCCAAUAAAAAUCAUUUUCCAAAACUUUAUUAGCAGUUCUUUUUGGACCAAAAUGUCCUCCACAAGCAUAAGAAUGACAAAAUGAAAGAAUAGAUUGAAAUUCACUGUUAGGCACACAUCGUCUAACUAUCUGGUCCGCACAAAAUUUCUAUAAGUAUGGACCAUCCCAAACAUAGUGUCUAGCAUCACUUUUUAACUUUUCCUUUUGGGAUUUGGAAAAUUCUUUAGGAUAAUAUGCACUUACCAAAUAAUUCACCGUAUCUGCAUACCAGAGACUCUCAGUAUGGAUGAAAAGUAGCUGCUCAUCCAGGAAAGAAUUAUGUAACGGUAACUCCUCCUCGUCUCUCAGUAGCCUACUCAAGUGAUCCGCUACUAAGUUGUCCGCACCUUUCUUAUCCUUGAUCUCAAAGUCGAAUUCUUGUAGGAGUAGAAUCCAUCGAAUAAUCCUUGGUUUAGAAUCCUUCUUGGUGAACAAAUACCUGAGAGCAGCAUGGUCAGAAUAAACUAUAAUUUUAGUACCAAACAAAUAUGAUCGAAAUUUAUCUAAAGCAAAAACCACAGAUAAAAGUUCUUUUUCAGUUGUGGAAUAGUUUAUCUGAGCCUCAUUCAAAGUCCUCGAAGCAUAGUAUAUGGCAUGAACGACUUUUAAUCUGGGAGGAGUUACGGGGCCUGCUACCUAUCAAAACGAAGAUAUCAACGAGAUCUACAACUUUCAUUCUUUGAUAUUAGACAGAUUCGAGCUGUAUCAAAGUUGAAAUCAGGCUCCAAGAGACUGCUAUGCAAAUUGCAACUUCCAAACUUUGAGGUUCAACUUCCGUAUGGUAAAAAGAUCAUAACUUCUUCAUACGAACUCCGAUUGGGACGAUUUAAGAUGUUCCGAAAAGCUAAAGAAGAGCUCUACAAUAAAAUCCAAGUCCCAAGCCAAGACCAUGCAUCCAACUUAAUGCUAAAAACCCUGCAAUUUUCCUUUUUUCCUCAUUUCAGCUCCAAUUCCUCCUGAAAUCAUUAAACACCAUAAUAAGC